GACGAACGCUGGCGGCGGGCUUAACACAUGCAAGUCGAACGGGAAGGCCGUGCUUUUGUGGGGUGCUCGAUUGGCGAUCGGGUGCGUAACAUGUGUGUAUCCUUCCCUGGGCUUUGGGAUAACUUCAGGAAACUGGGGUUAAUACCUGAUAUGAGCUCCUGCUGCAUGGUGGGCGGUGGAAAGUUUCGGCGGUUGGGGAUGGACGCGCGGCUUAGCGGCUUGUUGGUGGGGUAGUGACUUACCAACGCUUUGACGGCUAGCCGGCCUGUGUGGGUGACCGGCCGCAUUGCAGCUUAGAUACGGCCCAGACUCCUACUGGAGGCAGCAGUGGGGAAUAUUACACAGCGGGCGGAAGCGGGAUGAGGCAACGCCCCGGGCGUGAUGACCGCCUUUGGGCUGUCAAACGCUUUCGCCUGUGACGAAGCGUGCGUGGCGGUAAUGAGUAAAGAAGCACCGGCUAGCUGCGUG
rnacentral:rRNA from 1 species